rnacentral:rRNA from 1 species
UACGAAGGGGGCUAGCGUUGCUCGGAAUCACUGGGCGUAAAGCGCACGUAGGCGGAUUGUUAAGUCAGGGGUGAAAUCCUGGAGCUCAACUCCAGAACUGCCUUUGAUACUGGCGAUCUCGAGUCCGGGAGAGGUGAGUGGAACUGCGAGUGUAGAGGUGAAAUUCGUAGAUAUUCGGAAGAACACCAGUGGCGAAGGCGGCUCACUGGCCCGGUACUGACGCUGAGGUGCGAAAGCGUGGGGGAGCAAACAGGG